AGACCCGAAACCCGGUGAUCUAGCCAUGGGCAGGUUGAAGGUUGGGUAACACUAACUGGAGGACCGAACCGACUAAUGUUGAAAAAUUAGCGGAUGACCUGUGGCUGGGGGUGAAAGGCCAAUCAAACCGGGAGAUAGCUGGUUCUCCCCGAAAGCUAUUUAGGUAGCGCCUCGUGAAUUCAUCUCCGGGGGUAGAGCACUGUUUCGGCUAGGGGGCCAUCCCGGCUUACCAACCCGAUGCAAACUGCGAAUACCGGAGAAUGUUAUCACGGGAGACACACGGCGGGUGCUAACGUCCGUCGUGAAGAGGGAAACAACCCAGACCGCCAGCUAAGGUCCCAAAGUCAUGGUUAAGUGGGAAACGAUGUGGGAAGGCCCAGACAGCCAGGAUGUUGGCUUAGAAGCAGCCAUCAUUUAAAGAAAGCGUAAUAGCUCACUGGUCGAGUCGGCCUGCGCGGAAGAUGUAACGGGGCUAAACCAUGCACCGAAGCUGCGGCAGCGACACUCAGGUGUUGUUGGGUAGGGGAGCGUUCUGUAAGCCUGUGAAGGUGGCCUGUGAGGGUUGCUGGAGGUAUCAGAAGUGCGAAUGCUGACAUAAGUAACGAUAAAGCGGGUGAAAAGCCCGCUCGCCGGAAGACCAAGGGUUCCUGUCCAACGUUAAUCGGGGCAGGGUGAGUCGACCCCUAAGGCGAGGCCGAAAGGCGUAGUCGAUGGGAAACGGGUUAAUAUUCCCGUACUUGGUGUUACUGCGAAGGGGGGACGGAGAAGGCUAUGUUGGCCGGGCGACGGUUGUCCCGGUUUAAGCGUAUAGGUGUGUGUUCCAGGUAAAUCCGGUUCACUUUAACACUGAGGCGUGAUGACGAGGCGCUACGGUGCUGAAGCAACAAAUGCCCUGCUUCCAGGAAAAGCCUCUAAGCAUCAGGUAACAUCAAAUCGUACCCCAAACCGACACAGGUGGUCAGGUAGAGAAUACCAAGGCGCUUGAGAGAACUCGGGUGAAGGAACUAGGCAAAAUGGUGCCGUAACUUCGGGAGAAGGCACGCUGACAUGUAGGUGAAGUGAUUUACUCACGGAGCUG
rnacentral:rRNA from 1 species